GAUGAAGAACGUAGCGAAAUGCGAUACUUGGUGUGAAUUGCAGAUUCCCGUGAACCAUCGAGUCUUUGAACGCAAGUUGCGCCUCAAGCCAUUAGGUUGAGGGCACGUCUGCCUGGGCGUCACAUAUCGUUGCCUGAUGCCAGUUUCCUCGUGAUGGGUGACUGUGCAGGGCGAAUGAUGGCUUCCCGUGAGCAUUGUUGCCUCAUGGUUGGUUGAAAAUUGAGUCCUUGGUAGGGAGCGCCGUGAUAGAUGGUGGUUGAGUGACGAACGAGACCCAAUCAUGUGAGACCCCUACCGAAUUUGGCCUUCAUGACCCACAUGCGUCUUUGGAACGCUCAUGACGAGACCUCAGGUCAGGCGGGGCUACCCGCUGAGUUUAAGCAUAUCAAUAAGCGGAGGA
rnacentral:misc_RNA from 1 species